GUUCACUAACAUACAAAUAUAGUACAGCAGUGGUCAAACUGUGUACCUUUUUCUACAGGGGAAAGCAUAUUUGUAUUUUUCAUUACGUGAUAUUUUAAAAUAAAAAAGCUUUAACUCAUGACAGGAUCGGAAGAGCACACGUUUGAACUCC